AUUGAACGCUGGCGGCAUGCCUUACACAUGCAAGUCGAACGGUAACAGGUCUUCGGAUGCUGACGAGUGGCGAACGGGUGAGUAAUACAUCGGAACGUGCCCGAUCGUGGGGGAUAACGGAGCGAAAGCUUUGCUAAUACCGCAUACGAUCUACGGAUGAAAGCAGGGGACCGCAAGGCCUUGCGCGGACGGAGCGGCCGAUGGCAGAUUAGGUAGUUGGAGGGAUAAAAGCUUACCAAGCCGACGAUCUGUAGCUGGUCUGAGAGGACGACCAGCCACACUGGGACUGAGACACGGCCCAGACUCCUACGGGAGGCAGCAGUGGGGAAUUUUGGACAAUGGGCGAAAGCCUGAUCCAGCCAUGCCGCGUGCAGGAUGAAGGCCUUCGGGUUGUAAACUGCUUUUGUACGGAACGAAAAGACUCUUUCUAAUAAAGAGGGUCCAUGACGGUACCGUAAGAAUAAGCACCGGCUAACUACGUG
rnacentral:rRNA from 1 species